CCCUUAGAUGUUCUGGGCCGCACGCGCGCUACACUGACGAAUGCAACGAGCUUAUAACCUUGGCCGAAAGGUCUGGGUAAUCUCCAAAUUUCGUCGUGAUGGGGAUAGAUUAUUGCGAUUAUUAAUCUUCAACGAGGAAUGCCUAGUAAGCGCAAGUCAUCAGCUUGCGUUGAUUACGUCCCUGCCCUUUGUACACACCGCCCGUCGCUCCUACCGAUUGAAUGGUCCGGUGAAGCGUUCGGACCGUGGCCUUUGGACGGUUCGCCGUCUGUUGGCUGCGGGAAGUUCGUUAAACCUUAUCAUUUAGAGGAAGGAGAAGUCGUANCA
rnacentral:rRNA from 1 species